CUGGCUCAGAUUGAUCGCUGGCGGCAUGCCUUACACAUGCAAGUCGAACGGCAGCACGGGCUUCGGCCUGGUGGCGAGUGGUGAACGGGUGAGUAAUACAUCGGAACAUGUCCUGUAGUGGGGGAUAGCCCGGCGAAAGCCGGAUUAAUACCGCAUACGAUCUGAGGAUGAAAGCGGGGGACCUUCGGGCCUCGCGCUAUAGGGUUGGCCGAUGGCUGAUUAGCUAGUUGGUGGGGUAAAGGCCUACCAAGGCGACGAUCAGUAGCUGGUCUGAGAGGACGACCAGCCACACUGGGACUGAGACACGGCCCAGACUCCUACGGGAGGCAGCAGUGGGGAAUUUUGGACAAUGGGCGCAAGCCUGAUCCAGCAAUGCCGCGUGUGUGAAGAAGGCCUUCGGGUUGUAAAGCACUUUUGUCCGGAAAGAAAUCAUUCUGGCUAAUACCCGGAGUGGAUGACG
rnacentral:rRNA from 1 species